rnacentral:ribozyme from 14 species
AAGAACGAAAGAAAAAGAAGACACAAAAAACAAACAGGGAAGUAAGAGAAACCGUUUUCUUGAUAGUCCGUCCAUUCAAUUUAAGUUGAAUUUACUUCCAUGGACUCUAUC